rnacentral:rRNA from 1 species
ACGAACGCUGGCGGCGUGCUUAACACAUGCAAGUCGAACGAUGAAGCCCUUCGGGGUGGAUUAGUGGCGAACGGGUGAGUAACACGUGGGCAAUCUGCCCUUCACUCUGGGACAAGCCCUGGAAACGGGGUCUAAUACCGGAUAAUACUUUCUCCCUCCUGGGAGAAGGUUGAAAGCUCCGGCGGUGAAGGAUGAGCCCGCGGCCUAUCAGCUAGUUGGUGGGGUAAUGGCCUACCAAGGCGACGACGGGUAGCCGGCCUGAGAGGGCGACCGGCCACACUGGGACUGAGACACGGCCCAGACUCCUACGGGAGGCAGCAGUGGGGAAUAUUGCACAAUGGGCGAAAGCCUGAUGCAGCGACGCCGCGUGAGGGAUGACGGCCUUCGGGUUGUAAACCUCUUUCAGCAGGGAAGAAGCGAAAGUGACGGUACCUGCAGAAGAAGCGCCGGCUAACUACGUGCCAGCAGCCGCGGUAAUACGUAGGGCGCAAGCGUUGUCCGGAAUUAUUGGGCGUAAAGAGCUCGUAGGCGGCUUGUCACGUCGGUUGUGAAAGCCCGGGGCUUAACCCCGGGUCUGCAGUCGAUACGGGCAGGCUAGAGUGUGGUAGGGGAGAUCGGAAUUCCUGGUGUAGCGGUGAAAUGCGCAGAUAUCAGGAGGAACACCGGUGGCGAAGGCGGAUCUCUGGGCCAUUACUGACGCUGAGGAGCGAAAGCGUGGGGAGCGAACAGGAUUAGAUACCCUGGUAGUCCACGCCGUAAACG